UUGUCUGUGCGGUGAGUUGUGGCGGGUAGGCCUCGGGUACUCGGGCCCCGGAGCCGGGUGGGAGGCGAGUGGCCAGCGGUGAUGACAUAUCAAUCAAAGCACGUGUUAGACUGCUGACAAGGGUCCGGCCGGCCGAGGACGUCGGAUCCGUUGCCCUCCCAGCUAUUCGACCCUUCCCUGAAGGCUCUCAAUAAAACAGAUUGUUCCUACC